CAAAAACAAGCUGCAUGUGGCUACAGCAGAGUGAUUGUUAAUUAAUUGUCUACUUCGUGUUUAUUCAGCCAUCAAUCUCUCCAUCACACUCAGAAAUUCCCAUCUAUUCAGUUGUUUGGGAAGCUCCUUCAGUGCGCUCCAGAAAUGUUUCGUGGCCCACGAGAAACGUCACAGACACACUUCUGACGCUGACCCUACGGGGGGAACAGCAGCAGAACAGGAAGUCCACUUUAAUCAGCGCGGAGGAAUUUGAGAUUGAACUUGGGAUUUGGAGAGGACAAUGACCCCAUGAAAGAGUGCUGGCAUCCUCAUCCACACAGUCACACACACACACAC